rnacentral:rRNA from 1 species
GAUCCUGGCUCAGGAUGAACGCUGGCGGCGUGCCUAACACAUGCAAGUCGAGCGAUCUCUUCGGAGAGAGCGGCGGACGGGUGAGUAACGCGUGGGUAACCUGCCCUGUACACACGGAUAACAUACCGAAAGGUAUGCUAAUACGGGAUAAUAUAUAAGAGUCGCAUGACUUUUAUAUCAAAGAUUUUUCGGUACAGGAUGGACCCGCGUCUGAUUAGCUUGUUGGCGGGUAACGCCACAAGGCG